GUGUAAUGUUAAAUGUUCUUAACCACUUGAGCUAUAAUCUCCUUAUUUCUUCAAUAUAAACAAAAAGAAAAUGAUUUACAGCUCAAGUGGUUAAGAGCAGUUACUCUUACAC
rnacentral:miRNA from 1 species